GAACCGUACGAACGUUAUUCGGAAUCACUGGGCUUAAAGGGUGCGUAGGCGGCCUAGUAAGUUGGGGUGUGAAAUCCCUCGGGCUCAACCGAGGAACUGCGCUCAAAACUGCUAGGCUUGAGGAAGACAGAGGUGAGCGGAACUCAGGGUGGAGCGGUGAAAUGCGUUGAUAUCCUGGGAACACCAGUAGCGAAAGCGGCUCACUGGGUCUUUUCUGACGCUCAGGCACGAAAGCUAGGGGAGCGAACGGGAUUAGAUACCCCGGUAGUCCUAGCUGUAAACGAUGAGCACUGGGUUGGAGGGUCCUCCAUAGCCUUCCAGCCGUAGCGAAAGUGUUAAGUGCUCCGCCUGGGGAGUAUGGUCGCAAGGCUG
rnacentral:rRNA from 1 species